ensembl:lncRNA
GGUAAAUGCAAAAUAAUAGAAAUCAAGUAAUUACUGGCAUUAAAUGCUAAUUUGCCCAAUUUAUUAACAUUAUAUAUUUUUGAAUUCAGAGCAAAGAUUACAUGAGUAUUGGAUAGGGAUAACCUUCCUUUCUUCCCCACCUUGUUCCUGGGGAUAUUAGGAAUAUUCUUAUUAUAUUAAGCUAAGAAUUAAAAUGCAAAAAUAUUGCAAAAUGAUUUUUCUUUCAUAUUCUAAUUUGAGUACAACUAAAAACACGAGUGCAUUGUCUGUUGUGGAGUAAAUUUCUAACAUUUUAUUUUGAGGUGAUAAUUAUACGUUUGAAUUCCUAAUUCUAGAACACCUCCUCUAGUUGGAAUUACUUUACCUGGAGAGGAGGGAGGUAGGUUAGAGAUCUUUCACAUGUGAUCUACUUUUUUUUAUUUUUGAGAAAGACUUAGUCUUUUAGUCUCUCGCACAUCCAGAGAUGACUGGAUUACAACUGGCUGCUUAUAAAAGAAUCUGUGGAGGGACUCUUCCAGUGUCUGCUGAGUUCAGCUAUUUUGGGUAAUUGGAGAGAGUUGUGGUUCUCCCCACCUGACCUUCUAGAAUCCGUGAACCAGCAUAAAUACCAAUAUGUCGAUUCCAGUGGGAAAGGAAGGAAUAACUGAGGUUUUCCUUUAUACAUGCGGGGAGCAGAUAGGCACACAGAGGCCUGGAGUGGCUGAACUUGCUGACUUCUGGUUAAUUUUCUCUCCUAGGGCUGGAAGGGAGAGUACUCAAGCUUCUCUCCUGAGAAAUGUUGGCCCAAUUCAGAUUGGCACCAGUUCGUGUAGGGAAGUACUGGCAAUUUCUGGUGGGGAGAAGAUACGGAGGAACUGUAUAGAAGUAGAUACACUAAAAAGAAUAGAAGAAAAAAGGAAAAAUAAUUUUCUUCUUGUGAUAAGGCAACAUGAACAAUUACUUUUGCGAUAUGCUCAUAUCUUACAGUAAAGAUUGGGAUUAUUCUGCAAAUAUAAGAAUACUGAUGAAAAGAAUACACCUCUAGACAUAAUACAUGGGAUCAAAAGAGAGCAAGAGAGGAGGAAACACUGGAGAAGGGGAAGGAGAAGGAAAGAAGGAAGGAAGGAAGGAAGAAGGAAGGAAGGAAGGAAGGAAGGAAAGAAGGAAAGAAGGAAAGAAGGAAAGAAGGAAAGAAACAAACGAGGAAAAUCUACCUGGGAGCAGAAUAGAAAUUUUCCUUAGCCACACUCAACUAUACAUUUGCAUUACUUUCUACGCUUGAUCUUAACCAAAAGGCUAAGAAGUAAUUGCAUCAAUUUCUUAUAUUUAAUAUCAGACCUGUACCGUAUAAUACAAAUGGUUGUUUAUAAUUAUGUGGUUAACUAUGUAGAGUUAUACAGAACUUUAAUUUCAUUAUAUUAAUCUCAAUUAUAAUUUUACUGUAUAUAACAUGAAUAAUUGAAUUAAAGAACAGAUUAUGGUAGCAUUAUGUAUUAGCUUAGACCAGGUAGGGUUUCCUAACUGAUAAAAGAACUAUUCUGCAUGAACUGUUGGCAAUAUUGGUAAAAAUACCUUUCUGGGAUAUUAUCUUAAACAGUCUUUCUAUCCUGAAGUGCCAAAGGAAUUUGGGUUUAAUCCACUGGGAAAUAGGAAACCAAUGAAAGACUUUAAGAAUGUAAGUGGCAUACUGGGUAUUAUACUAUAUGUUGCAAAUUGAAUUUAAAUAAAAUAUUUUUUUAAAAAAACA